CCGCAGUCCCCACGAUCCCCUUCCUGUUCCCCACGCACGAGCGCGCGUCACCGCCACCGCCGGUCGCCCCGUCCUCGACUGGAUCUGGACCCUCCCUGCCGGGAUCCACGUGCCCAGCCACCUGCGCCGUCCCAUGCGCCAUCGCACGCCGGAGGACCUGCGCCUUGCCUUCCUCGCCAUCGAGCACAAAGGCGCUCGAUCCAGACGACGCCACCGUUGACCGCUCCUCUGCCUCGCCGCCUUCGCCGUCCCCAUGUGUCUCCUGGACAUGGAGAGAGAGCACGGGAGGGAAGAAGGAAGGAAGAGGGAGGCGUGGCCGUGGUUGGUUCUCCGGCGGCGCUGGAUCGGUGCAUGGGCGCAGAGCUCCUGCUCGGGGCGCGAAGAUCUAGGGAGGGACUCGGGUGCGAGGCUGCGGGUCUAUGCAGAGAUGGCACUGCUCCUUCAACUUUUGAAGAAUGCGCUGAGACAUCAGCUAGAUCCGCAGCUCAAGAUAGCUCCCUUGGUGAUUCUUUUCAACGAAGGACUUGCUCUCCAGCAUGUGGUUUGGUAUUUCUUGACUGCAAGUAUUCAGCAGCCACAACUGAACUGAAGAUCAGCAAGUAUUUAAGCAACACAUAUGUUUGGUUUGCAUGUGUUAUAACCAGAUCAACGAAGUUUCUGCACAUCAUGAGUAAGAGGUGAAGAAAUCAUGUUUGCAAAUGGCCAUCGAUUAAACUGCAGUAUUUUCCAUGAACUGUGGUAACUCUUGCCUAGAAAAACUGCAUGAGAAAAAGUCUUGCUUCAGAUUUUGACAGGUUUGGGUCCAUCUAUAACAUGCUUGACCGGGCGAUCACGUGGCUAUCGAGCACUCUUAUUUUCUGGUCAUAAGCUCUUACUAAGAUGUUGUCGGUCGGGUGUCCUCUACUACUGAAGUUUUACCACGAUCUGGUGGUGCUUGAGAGCAGAGACGACAUACUUUCAUCAGCAGUGGCCAAACCCCCACCGCCGCCGGUGCUGUACACCCCUGUACCCCUUGACAUCCAGUGCCUCGCGUCUGCCCAACAUGAAAACCUCCUCAAUAGGUACAUCUCUGAAUUUUGCCCUUGCUAGAGAAAGUCGAGCAUUGUUUUGCCGUAGCUAUAAUUUGAGUUUAGAAAGUAUACUACUCUCUUUUUGACGUCAAUUUUUUCAAUUGAUUUUGCUCCAGGAUAGUGCCCUUUAUGUGCAUGAACUAAUGGGUGUGUUCACAACAUAGAGCAGCUUCUCCAUCCAGUCUCAUGUCUUUCUCUUUAGCAGGGAUCAGUGAGUACUACCGAGCAAAAAAGUCCUUCUCUUCGUCAUAUUUCUUCCUUUUCCUUACUACUUUUGUGGCUCCAAAUCUCAUGAUGGCUCUAUGUCUGUUCUUUUUGUUGACAUGGAUUUUACCCUGAAAGUUUUUCUUCUGAUCUACAAUGUUCUGCCAUCUAAAUUUUUCUGUAUAUUAUGAAUGAGUAGACAGUGGUGCAGAAGCCGAAUUGGAUGAAAUUACGGACUACAAAGAGGUGUAAUUAUUAAUUAAUUCAUUUCUUUAAAAGAUAUGCAACUAGCAGAGUUUCUUACUUUUAUGAUUUGGAUUAUGACCGAAUUGAAGAACUUAUGUGGACAGCCCGGCAGGUUUCAGUGGCAAGACUUUUGUACAAUUACAGUGGCAGAUUUCAGAAAUUUGUAGAGCACAUGAUUUACAAGAACAAGAUAUUCUGUCAAGCCAUGGAUAUCAACAAUCAGUCAAGCAAAGAAAUAUUCAUGGGAGAUAUACAGGGAUCCACAAGAAUGUGCACCGUGUAGCACUACCCUUUUGUCAUUGAGCCACUAUCACAUUUUGGCCAGCAAUCAGUUCAAGCAGUUCUCGGCGCCUUUAGUCAGAAGCUGGAAUUUACAACUAAACGAACAUCAAGCAACAGAAGAAAGGGUGGUCAUCUCUUUUUCUUGGCACCAAGAUGCCAUACAAGCAUUGAGACAUCGGAAACACAUAAGAAGUUUGUAUAUAAAUGAUUAGCCUUUUAGAAGUAUAUGGCGUUGCUUAAACUAUGUUUCUUUUGGCAACACCAUAUGAAAUGGAGAAAGUUUUAGGUUUAGGAUAAAAUUGUUCUAGAUUUUGAGAAAAUUGUUACAGAUCCAUGAGAAAAAUGUCCCAACUUUAGGAAAUUAACUAUCCAUAUUUUCGGUUA